GUACACAAAAAUGCACAUGCUGUGAGCUCGAUGAGUAGGGCGGGACACGUGGUAUCCUGUCUGAAUAUGGGGGGACCAUCCUCCAAGGCUAAAUACUCCUGACUGACCGAUAGUGAACCAGUACCGUGAGGGAAAGGCGAAAAGAACCCCGGCGAGGGGAGUGAAAAAGAACCUGAAACCGUGUACGUACAAGCAGUGGGAGCACGCUUAGGCGUGUGACUGCGUACCUUUUGUAUAAUGGGUCAGCGACUUAUAUUCUGUAGCAAGGUUAACCGAAUAGGGGAGCCGAAGGGAAACCGAGUCUUAACUGGGCGUUAAGUUGCAGGGUAUAGACCCGAAACCCGGUGAUCUAGCCAUGGGCAGGUUGAAGGUUGGGUAACACUAACUGGAGGACCGAACCGACUAAUGUUGAAAAAUUAGCGGAUGACUUGUGGCUGGGGGUGAAAGGCCAAUCAAACCGGGAGAUAGCUGGUUCUCCCCGAAAGCUAUUUAGGUAGCGCCUCGUGAAUUCAUCUCCGGGGGUAGAGCACUGUUUCGGCAAGGGGGUCAUCCCGACUUACCAACCCGAUGCAAACUGCGAAUACCGGAGAAUGUUAUCACGGGAGACACACGGCGGGUGCUAACGUCCGUCGUGAAGAGGGAAACAACCCAGACCGCCAGCUAAGGUCCCAAAGUCAUGGUUAAGUG
rnacentral:rRNA from 1 species